ACGACCAGACGCUAGGGCUGGGCAAGGCGCCGCCGCAGCUCUGGCACUAGAGACCGGCCGACUGCACCGCCGCGCCACCGCCAGCGUGUGCCACUUCGACCCCGCCACCGCGCCACAACUGCUUCCGUGCAAGUCUGCAGCCAGCCAGCCAGCCAGGCGCUGUUCACCCGCGCUCGCACGAUGCAGCUGCCCCAUGCCAGCAGGUCCGGUCCCAACUCGUCGCCACCCGUCGUCGUCGCCGGCUCGUCGUCAUCGGCUCCGGCGUCUCGGCAACAACAAUCGGAGGCGCCUCGCGGUCGAACUCUCGCGCCGUGGCCCCGGUUUGCAGCCCCUCGCUCUCUUCUAAGGUAUUGUUGCUUUCUAGUUUUUUAUGUAUUUGACUAGCACAAUCUACCAGUAACUUUGUUCUUAUGCUUUGUGAUGGACAAUAACAGCACCAUGGAUGUGGAUAAUAUUUGUGAUAUUGACAACAAUGUGUCUAAUGAAGAUGAGAUACAUGGUAUUGGGGGGGGGGGGAUGUUAAUGGCAAUGACAGUGACCACAUGGAGGAGGAGGAUCAUGUUCUUACACCUACUGGUAGUGAGGUGAAUGUCAGAAAAAACAAAUCCAUAGAUGGAGACAAUCGUGUGGUGAAACGACUACUAGCAACCAAGUCAACUAGUACCUCUACAAGCAAGUUUAUGGCAUCAGCAUUUAAAGCAACAAGGUCAAACAAGAGCACAGAUUUAGUGCCUCAACCUCAAGUUUCGAAAGGUGUCCUUUUUACUUUGUUUGUUUCAUUUUCAAGUGAAUGCAAAUGUAUAUUAACAUAUUCUUUUUUGUUAUAGUUGCACAAGAUGCAAGUGCGAGUGCAAGUGAAAAUGCAAGCAUAGCUGCAAGUGUCCAAAUAAGCACUGAAGAUGAUUGUGAUGAAGAAUUAGAUGUCAAGAAAAAGAAGCUCACUUCAUGGGUUUGGGAGCAUUUUACAAGGUAUGAUGUAGAAGUGGAGCAAAAUGAUGGUUCCAUUGUUAAGCAAAAGUGGGCAAAAUGCAAAAAAAUGUCCACAUAAAGCUAAGGCCGAUAGUUCGAAUGGCACAAAGGCUUUUAGUAACCAUUUAAAGCUGAGGCAUAAGAUUUUGAAGGGUCAACAACACUUAACUCAGAAUGGGGAUACUAUACAAACAUAUAAAUAUGAUGAGAAUUUUAGUGUGAGACUGCUCUAUUAUGCCAUCAUCAUGCAUGAGUAUCCUUUUAGUAUUGCCCAACACAAGUACUUGGUGAAAUUUAUCAAAUCACUGCGACCAUCAUUUCCUUUGAAGUCUCGUGUUACUGUUCGUAAAGAGAUCAUGGAUCUUUAUAUUGAGGAAAAGAAUAUGUUGUAUGCACAAUUCAAAAAUCACUGCGACCAUCUUUGAAGUCUUGGUUGAAUGCAUUAAACAUCAGCAAGUGUUUGAAGAAGUUCUAUGAUGUCACAUUACUUUUUUCUAGCACUUCAUAUCCUACUGCAAAUCAUUUCUUUCGUAAAUUUUCUGAGAUAAAGAUGGCUAUUGCAAGAUGGUGUGAUAGUAGUGAUCCCAUAAUCUGCACUAUGGCAUACUCUAUGAGAGACAAGUUUGAUAAGUACUGGGAGAUGAACAAUAUGGCUUUGGCAGUGGGAGCAUUUCUUGAUCCUAGGUACAAACACAGAAUGGUUGAGCUAUACAUGUCUAAGAUGUAUGAUAGUGAGAUGGCCGAGUUGGAGAAAAUGACAUUCAUGAAUGUUAUCAAUGAAUUAUUUGCAUUCUAUUCAUCAACCAUCAAUGCAAAAUCAACUAAUAAGGGUACUAGCUCGAAGGAUUCUGUGGCAAGCAAAAAUGUUGUUUUGAUGGAUGACGAUGAUGAGAAUGAGGUUAAUCUUGAUGAGUUAUAUGCAGCAACAAACAAUGUGAAGAAAGUGUCUGAAUUGGAUCUUUACAUGAGUGACGGCCUAGUGAAGGCUAAUGAAGGUGAUGCACCAUUUGAUGCCUUAUCAUGGUGGAAGGGGCAAGUGACAAAUUUUCCUAUUCUUUCUAGCCUUGCUCGUGAUGUACUAUCAAUGCAAGUGUCAACUGUUGCUUCAGAGUCGGCAUUUAGCUCUGGUGGACGUGUGGUUGAUUCCUUCCGUUCGAAGCUUAAACCUAAAAUUAUUGAAGCCUUGGUUUGUACUAAGGAUUGGAAGCUUGCUUCAGACAAAGGUUUUAUUUUCUUGUACAUGUGUUCUUGUAUUUUUUUUGUAAAUGAUGAUGAUGGCUACUACUGAUAUGUUUUAUUGUUCUCUAUUGAUUUCAGAUUUGGAGGGUGAAAUAAAAACUAUAAGUGAAGCUAUGAAUGCUAUGGAGGUGGACGAUGAGGUUGCGACUUGAGAUCUUCAAGCAAGCAUGGAUUGCUUGCACUAUCUUAUGUUAUUUAAAAACUAUCCUUUAUUGUAAUAGUCUAUUGUGUUGAACUGUCUUGUGCUAUGUUAAACUCUUGGGUGAUGUGAACUUAUGAACGAUUGUGUUAGACUAUUGUAUGGUGUGAACUUAUUGCUAUAUUGUGUUGUUGAUCUAUGGUUUAUGUAAUGCUAUAUUGUAUGAUGUGUUGAAUGAUGUGAACUUAUUGCUAUAUUAUCAUGUUGAACUAUUGUCUUGUAUGAUGUGAAUUUAUUGUUAUAUUGUCAUGCUAGAGUACUAUAUUGUAUGAUGUAAACUUAUUGAUAUAUUAUUAUGUUAGAGUACUAUGUUGUAUGAU
rnacentral:lncRNA from 1 species